CACUGCCGAGAAAAGCCUCUAGAUAGAAAAUAGGUGCCCGUACCGCAAACCGACACAGGUAGUCAAGAUGAGAAUUCUAAGGUGAGCGAGCGAACUCUCGUUAAGGAACUCGGCAAAAUGACCCCGUAACUUCGGGAGAAGGGGUGCUCUUUAGGGUUAACGCCCAGAAGAGCCGCAGUGAAUAGGCCCAAGCGACUGUUUAUCAAAAACACAGGUCUCUGCUAAACCGUAAGGUGAUGUAUAGGGGCUGACGCCUGCCCGGUGCUGGAAGGUUAAGAGGAGUGGUUAGCUUCUGCGAAGCUACGAAUCGAAGCCCCAGUAAACGGCGGCCGUAACUAUAACGGUCCUAAGGUAGCGAAAUUCCUUGUCGGGUAAGUUCCGACCCGCACGAAAGGCGUAACGAUUUGGGCACUGUCUCAACGAGAGACUCGGUGAAAUCAUAGUACCUGUGAAGAUGCAGGUUACCCGCGACAGGACGGAAAGACCCCGUGGAGCUUUACUGUAGCCUGAUAUUGAAAUUCGGCACAGCUUGUACAGGAUAGGUAGGAGCCUUUGAAACGUGAGCGCUAGCUUACGUGGAGGCGCUGGUGGGAUACUACCCUAGCUGUGUUGGCUUUCUAACCCGCACCACUUAUCGUGGUGGGAGACAGUGUCAGGCGGGCAGUUUGACUGGGGCGGUCGCCUCCUAAAAGGUAACGGAGGCGCUCAAAGGUUCCCUCAGAAUGGUUGGAAAUCAUUCAUAGAGUGUAAAGGCAUAAGGGAGCUUGACUGCGAGACCUACAAGUCGAGCAGGGUCGAAAGACGGACUUAG
rnacentral:rRNA from 1 species